rnacentral:rRNA from 1 species
ACGCUGGCGGCAGGCCUAACACAUGCAAGUCGAGCGGUAGCACAGAGAGCUUGCUCUCGGGUGACGAGCGGCGGACGGGUGAGUAAUGUCUGGGAAACUGCCUGAUGGAGGGGGAUAACUACUGGAAACGGUAGCUAAUACCGCAUAACGUCGCAAGACCAAAGUGGGGGACCUUCGGGCCUCAUGCCAUCAGAUGUGCCCAGAUGGGAUUAGCUAGUAGGUGGGGUAAUGGCUCACCUAGGCGACGAUCCCUAGCUGGUCUGAGAGGAUGACCAGCCACACUGGAACUGAGACACGGUCCAGACUCCUACGGGAGGCAGCAGUGGGGAAUAUUGCACAAUGGGCGCAAGCCUGAUGCAGCCAUGCCGCGUGUGUGAAGAAGGCCUUCGGGUUGUAAAGCACUUUCAGCGGGGAGGAAGGCGAUAAGGUUAAUAACCUUGUCGAUUGACGUUACCCGCAGAAGAAGCACCGGCUAACUCCGUGCCAGCAGCCGCGGUAAUACGGAGGGUGCAAGCGUUAAUCGGAAUUACUGGGCGUAAAGCGCACGCCGGCGGUCUGUCAAGUCGGAUGUGAAAUCCCCGGGCUCAACCCUGCGAACUGCCUUCGAAACUGGCAGGCUAGAGUCUUGUAGAGGGGGGUAGAAUUCCAGGUGUAGCGGUGAAAUGCGUAGAGAUCUGGAGGAAUACCGGUGGCGAAGGCGGCCCCCUGGACAAAGACUGACGCUCAGGUGCGAAAGCGUGGGGAGCAAACAGGAUUAGAUACCCUGGUAGUCCACGCCGUAAACGAUGUCGAUUUGGAGGUUGUGCCCUUGAGGCGUGGCUUCCGGAGCUAACGCGUUAAAUCGACCGCCUGGGGAGUACGGCCGCAAGGUUAAAACUCAAAUGAAUUGACGGGGGCCCGCACAAGCGGUGGAGCAUGUGGUUUAAUUCGAUGCAACGCGAAGAACCUUACCUGGUCUUGACAUCCACAGAACUUUCCAGAGAUGGAUUGGUGCCUUCGGGAACUGUGAGACAGGUGCUGCAUGGCUGUCGUCAGCUCGUGUUGUGAAAUGUUGGGUUAAGUCCCGCAACGAGCGCAACCCUUAUCCUUUGUUGCCAGCGGUCCGGCCGGGAACUCAAAGGAGACUGCCAGUGAUAAACUGGAGGAAGGUGGGGAUGACGUCAAGUCAUCAUGGCCCUUACGACCAGGGCUACACACGUGCUACAAUGGCAUAUACAAAGAGAAGCGACCUCGCGAGAGCAAGCGGACCUCAUAAAGUAUGUCGUAGUCCGGAUUGGAGUCUGCAACUCGACUCCAUGAAGUCGGAAUCGCUAGUAAUCGUAGAUCAGAAUGCUACGGUGAAUACGUUCCCGGGCCUUGUACACACCGCCCGUCACACCAUGGGAGUGGGUUGCAAAAGAAGUAGGUAGCUUAACCUUCGGGAGGGCGCUUACCACUUUGUGAUUCAU